rnacentral:rRNA from 1 species
UAGUAAGUGUGUAAGAGCGUACGGUGGAUGCCUUGGCACCAGGAGCCGAUGAAGGACGUAGGAGGCUGCGAUAAGCCUCGGGGAGCUGUCAACCGAGCUGAGAUCCGAGGAUUUCCGAAUGGGGAAACCCAGCACGAGUGAUGUCGUGUUACCCGCCAUUGAAUAUAUAGGUGGUGUGGAGGGAACGUGGGGAAGUGAAACAUCUCAGUACCCACAGGAAGAGAAAACAAUAGUGAUUCCGUGAGUAGUGGCGAGCGAAAGCGGAAGAGGCUAAACC